CAGUAGCCGCGGUAAUACGUAGGGCGCAAGCGUUGUCCGGAAUUAUUGGGCGUAAAGAGCUCGUAGGCGGUCUGUCGCGUCUGGUGUGAAAUCCCGAGGCUCAACCUCGGGCUUGCAUCGGGUACGGGCAGACUAGAGUGCGGUAGGGGAGACUGGAAUUUCUGGUGUAGCGGUGGAAUGCGCAGAUAUCAGGAGGAACACCGAUGGCGAAGGCAGGUCUCUGGGCCGCAACUGACGCUGAGGAGCGAAAGCAUGGGGAGCGAACAGGAUUAGAUACCCCCGUAGUCCCUGUCUCUUAUAC
rnacentral:rRNA from 1 species